GCACACAAAACAAACAAAUUGCUACAAAAUUCUCCCCAAAGCCCGUAAAUUGGAUAAUAAAAUAGUACAUUUCCUGCGUCACUCAGUAUACAUUAGACGAUACAAGAGAUACAAGAGUUUGUUACAUCCAUUAGAAAAUGUAUUUUGUUAUAUCGUUACAUCAUUUGGUUAGUACUAUAAUCGUUACGAUAAUUACAACUUAUAAUUACGAACUCGACAAGAGGAUUACAUUUGGAGAAAAAAGCUUUUAAGAUGCGCGCGCACUCUAUUAAUAUAUGCCAUCUACGGUUGCAUUCUAUUAUUCAUCGCUAGUACUGAAAAUCUCACAGUAUAUUUUCAAUACUCACAGUGAACAAUGCGUACGUUCCAUACAUCCUUGCAAAGAAAAAAAAAAAAAAUUUCGCGCAGCGCCAAUUGCAGCCCUCUUGCCGUAUCUUCAAUAAUGUGUUUAUAAUUAUAGAUAUAUUUAUUUAAUGCAUUUCCUUAGGGAUACAUGAAACACUUACUUAGUUUCUAAGCUUACAAUAUAUUUAUAUACGUAGUAUGCGAUGUAUCUACUAUAAGUAAAUUUGUUUAAGAGUUAUUCUAAAGAGUGAGAUUAAUGCAAAUCGAACUAUAUGCGCGUUGAGUGUGUAAUAAUAUUAUUACCAAUAAACAACUAAUCAACUACCUGUUCUCUGUUCUAUCACUCUUCAAUACAUGUAGACAUAUCCCUUUAUACGAAAAGUGCAUACCGGUAUAAGUAAAUUUGUUUGUACGUAAAGAAGUGUUGAAAGGACGAUGUAGAUUUGCUCCCAUAAAGCAAUACAACUAUCGUUGUAAAAUCAAGCGCUAAUACCUGGCGUUCUACAAAA